rnacentral:rRNA from 1 species
GAAACAGCGAUAAGGGGACCUCGAGUGCCAGGUUACAAAUCUGGCAGUCGUGAUGCCUAAAAAGCAUUGCAUAGCAAGGGCCGGGCAAGACCGGUGCCAGCCGCCGCGGUAACACCGGCGGCUCGAGUGGUAACCGUUAUUAUUGGGUCUAAAGGGUCUGUAGCCGGCCGGAUAAGUCUCUUGGGAAAUCCAGCAGCUCAACUGUUGGGCUUUCAGGAGAUACUGUCUGGCUCGAGGCCGGGAGAGGUGAGAGGUACUUCAGGGGUAGGGGUGAAAUCUUGUAAUCCUUGAAGGACCACCAGUGGCGAAGGCGUCUCACCAGAACGGACCUGACGGCAAGGGACGAAAGCUAGGGGCACGAACCGGAUUAGAUACCCGGGUAGUCCUAGCCGUAAACGAUACUCGCUAGGUGUCGGCCACGGUGCGACCGUUGUCGGUGCCGUAGGGAAGCCGUGAAGCGAGCCACCUGGGAAGUACGGCCGCAAGGCUGAAACUUAAAGGAAUUGGCGGGGGAGCAC